rnacentral:rRNA from 1 species
UACGAAGGGUGCAAGCGUUACUCGGAAUUACUGGGCGUAAAGCGUGCGUAGGUGGUUCGUUAAGUCUGAUGUGAAAGCCCUGGGCUCAACCUGGGAAUGGCAUUGGAAACUGGCGACCUAGAGUGCGGUAGAGGGUAGUGGAAUUCCCGGUGUAGCAGUGAAAUGCAUAGAGAUCGGGAGGAACAUCUGUGGCGAAGGCGACUGCCUGGACCAGCACUGACACUGAGGCACGAAAGCGUGGGGAGCAAACAGG